UAAAUAGUCACGUAGCAAAAAAGGAUUUGGGCUGAGAGUGAAAAGCAGUCACCUUUCCGUCGGAGAGCAGAUGCACAUCAGAAAUCAGGCGGGAGAGAAAUACCUAACAGCGCUGGGCAUAAUGUGAUUAUACCUAAGCAGGGUCUGGGAAACAACCCCACUUUGUGACAACAGGGCAUGUGACAAAUAAUUAUAGGCGGAGAGGUGAUGUAGCUGUGGAGCGGCAGACUCCCCUCUCCUCCCCUUCACGCCCAACCAGAGUGACAGCAGCCUUUAGACUUCUGACUGUGCAAAUGAAUGGUUUGGUUUGUCUAAAUAAACACAAACUUGGAAUCAGGGAUACCUGAUCGAUCGCCUAAAUGUGAAUAUGUACACAUCUUCAGUGUAUACAGGCAGUACAGGAAGGAAUCCAAGCCUGAGCAGCUGCAGCGUUUGAUUGUACUCAAGCCGUCGGUGGGUACACCGAGCCUGCUACGAUCAGCGCUCCCCUCGACUCCCGGCGGGGAGCCUUCCCCAGCCCGCAGCCCCCGACUCGCGUAAGGAACGCGCCUCCCGCACCGCGCAGGCGGCCGUGGGGGCGGGCGGUACGAGCGGGGGAGAGACGGGACACGGACGUCUUUGCCGGGUGAAUUUGGAGGCGAGAAACCGGAGCCCUUCGGCGAGGGGCGUUGAGGCCGCUCGGCUGCAGUCGGUGGAGAGGCUGCGCCACGCUCCGCGCCCUGCGCAUCCCCGGGCAGCCGCCGGGAUCGGCGCUGCUCCCCAGGCUUGCUGUCCCCUCCUCUCAGAGCCCCGUCUGGAACAGGUCCUGGCCAGGAACAGGAAGAUGUCAGAGCGGGGAGUGACAAGCUACAAAACAGUCGUCAUCUAUUUUUUUUUUCUGUCUCUGUUUCUCCCUAGUCUUAUGGUCAGUGCAAAUAAUCAUAGUCCUUUGAUUAUUUAUGGUUCUCCAGCCGUGGCAACAGAAACUAGCCAACCUCUGCCCUCAACUUUUCUUCUCGGUUCCCAAAUUUUCCAGCUACUUGCAUUGUUUGUUUCCAAAAUACAACGCAUACAGUGCUGAACUGCAACACUUGUCAGAAGAUUCGUCUGAAAGCACCAAGCACCACAGCCUGGGCAUUA